GAUGAACGCUGGCGGCGUGCCUAAUACAUGCAAGUCGAGCGAACAGACGAGGAGCUUGCUCCUCUGACGUUAGCGGCGGACGGGUGAGUAACACGUGGAUAACCUACCUAUAAGACUGGGAUAACUUCGGGAAACCGGAGCUAAUACCGGAUAAUAUAUUGAACCGCAUGGUUCAAUAGUGAAAGACGGUUUUGCUGUCACUUAUAGAUGGAUCCGCGCCGCAUUAGCUAGUUGGUAAGGUAACGGCUUACCAAGGCAACGAUGCGUAGCCGACCUGAGAGGUGGAUCGGCCACGCCGGAACUAGGACACGGUCCAUACUCCUAAGGGAGGCAGCAGUAGGGAAACUUCCGCAAAGGGCGAAAGCCUGACGGAGCCACGCCCCGUGAGUUAUCAAAGUCUUUGUGUCGUAAAACUUUUUUAUUAGGGAAGAACAAAUGUGUAAGUAACUAUGCACGUCUUGACGGUACCUAAUCAGAAAGCCACGGCUAACUACGUG
rnacentral:rRNA from 1 species